rnacentral:rRNA from 1 species
CACGUAGGGCGCAAGCGUUGUCCGGAAUUAUUGGGCGUAAAGAGCUCGUAGGCGGUCUGUUACGUCUGCUGUGAAAACCCAGGGCUUAACCCUGGGCUUGCAGUGGAUACGGGCAGACUAGAGGCAGGUAGGGGAGAAUGGAAUUCCCGGUGUAGCGGUGAAAUGCGCAGAUAUCGGGAGGAACACCGGUGGCGAAGGCGGCUCACUGGUCCGGUACUGACGCUGAGGUGCGAAAGCGUGGGGAUCAAACAGG